GUGUCAGCCGCCGCGGUAAUACGAAGGGGGCUAGCGUUGUUCGGAAUCACUGGGCGUAAAGCGCGUGUAGGCGGAUUGUUAAGUCGGGGGUGAAAUCCCGAGGCUCAACCUCGGAACUGCCUUCGAUACUGACAAUCUUGAGUCCGGGAGAGGUGAGUGGAACUCCGAGUGUAGAGGUGAAAUUCGUAGAUAUUCGGAAGAACACCAGUGGCGAAGGCGGCUCACUGGCCCGGUACUGACGCUGAUAAUGCGAAAGCGUGGGGAGCAAACAGGAUUAGAAACCCGCGUAGUCC
rnacentral:rRNA from 1 species